rnacentral:rRNA from 1 species
ACGGCGAGUGAAGCGGCAACAGCCCACACUGAAAAUCGCUUCCGCGAGUUGUACAGUGAAGACGUAGCUCUUGCGGAAGGCGGCCUCUGUAACUUCCUUGGAACAGGAGACCAGAGAGGGUGAUAGUCCCGUGCCAGAGGCUGCUGAUCGAUAGAGCGCGUUCUAAGAGUCGGGUAGUUUGGGAUUGCUGCCCUAAGCGGGAGGUAGACUCCUCCUAAGGCUAAAUAUUAACGAGAGACCGAUAGUGGACAAGUACUGUGAAGGAAAGAUGAAAAGAACUUUGGAAAGAGAGUUAAAAGACUUGAAACCGUUGAGGAGGAAGCAGUGUGCUAGGCAUAGUCAUAGGAUGAGGAGGAGAAGGGAGGCUGAACCUGAGUGGGAAGUCGAAGAUCUCCGAAUCAGCUAUGGCGCCUGGUAGACUGGCCCGUCUUGAAACACGGACCAAGGAGUCCAGCCUAUGUGCAAGUAGAGAGACUGUAAAUCUCGAUGCGUAACGAAAGUGAUCUCUGUAGCAGCAGAGGCCGCGUCAGCGAGCUCAGCAGAUAGGCUGGGACCCGAAAGAUGGUGAACUAUGCUUGGGAAAGGCGAAGCCAGGGGAAACUCUGGUGGAGGCUUGUAGAGGUACUGACGUGCAAAUCGUUCUUCUGACCUGAGUAUAGGGGCGAAAGACUUAUCGAACCAUCUAGUAGCUGGUUCCCUCCGAAAUUUCCCUCAGGAUAGCAAGAGCAUAGCAGUUUUACCGGGUAAAGCGAAUGAUUAGAGGUUCGGGGGUUGAAAUGACCUUCACCUAUUCUCAAACUUUAAAUCGGUAAGAUGGGCCCGUUACUUCAGUGAACAGGCUCUUGAAUGCAGCGCUCUUAGUGGGCCAUUUUUGGUAAGCAGAACUGGCAACGAGGGGUCAACCUAAGGAGAGGUUGAGGCGACAAAUUGACUGCUCAUAGAUGGAAAGGUGUUGGUUCAUUUAGACAGUAGGACGGUGGCCAUGGAAGUCGGAAUCCGCUAAGGAGUGUGUAACAACUCACCUACCGAAUGGACUAGCCCUGAAAAUGGAUGUCGCUAAGCAGUUAGCCGAUACCUCUCCGUCUGGCUCUAGGUAACCAGGCGAGUAGGAGGGCGUGAGGAUAGCGUGGAAGUGUGAAUGUGAAUUCACAUGGAGCUGUUCUUAGUGCAGAUCUUGGUGAUAGUAGCAGCUAUUCAAGAAAGACCCUUGAAGACUGAAGUGGAGAAGGGUUUCAUGAGAACAACACUUGGUCAUGAGUGACUCGGUCCUAAGGUGAUUAUAGCCGAAAGGGAAAAAGGUUAAAAUUCCUUUAGCUAGCAGUGGGUCUUGUGUGGUAACACAACUGAGCUCAGAGACGUCGGAGUGGAACCCCAGGGAGAGUUCUCUUUUCUUCUUAACAAGUCGCCGCCCUGGAGGUCGUUGUGACGAGAGAGGGCCAUAGACUUGGCAGAGCAGUGCACCCUUUGCGCUGUCUGGUGCGUUUCCUUCGACCCUUGAAAAUCUGAGGGAACUUUGAUCGCUUGCUAGGCCGUACCCACAACCGCAUC